rnacentral:rRNA from 1 species
UACGUAGGGGGCGAGCGUUGUCCGGAUUUAUUGGGCGUAAAGAGCGUGUAGGCGGCCAGGUAGGUCUGCUGUGAAAACUCGAGGCUCAACCUCGAGACGUCGGCGGAAACCAUCUGGCUAGAGUCCGGAAGAGGAGAGUGGAAUUCCUGGUGUAGCGGUGAAAUGCGCAGAUAUCGGGAGGAACACCAGUAGCGAAGGCGGCUCGCUGGGCCACACCUGACGCUGAGACGCGAAAGCUAGGGGAGCGAACAGG